CUUCUGAGUAUUUCGACAGGAAUUGGGCUAUACUCUUGCUGAAUUUUCCAUUUGCUUACCCGGAACAGUACGGAUUUUUAACCACGUCUCCCCCAAAUAAGCCACGCCAUCCGUCCCUCUUUGUUGUACAACUGACUAUAUGCAUGUAACUUUCUCGGGAAGAACGUAACGGAUUUAGUGUAGCUACACUCUGUCAAAAUCUAUACAUUCACAAAAAGUAGAAUCCACGGCUAUUUAGGUUGCGUUGCUUCACAGUUGUUGGAUCAGUUCCGUAUUUGACUUGAGGCAGUACAGACCUCAUUUUCCUUCAUCCUGUAACGCAGUUGGUUGCAACAUCUAUUAAAAAACAACAACAGAGACGCAGAAAAGUAAAUAAGACACAGCUGAAUUAAGGAAUUCCGAAUUUGUACCGAAAUGAAUGAUAACCGCAGUAAUCGCUACACUUCAUCGACGUCUUUCCACGUCCCUAAACCGCAACAGUCUCUUUUUCCAUUUUUCAUAGCCCUUAGAGAACAGUGGAAUUUGAGGAAGCAACAACAACAGGAGCAGGCUCAAAACAUGGCAGAUGGAGAGCAGGGAGCCGCGGGGAUGUCUUCCUCUGGGGUAGGAGUGGGUGGAGUCACACCCACUCAGAAAACCAGCCAGGACAAUAAAGGUUUUUUCAAAAUCUUCUAAUUAAUUUGCGAAAUGAUCAUCUAUGACGUUUUUGUAAAUAUAAGUUCAGAAUUUAUAUUUGUUGGUUGCGAAAUUUACUAUUAUUUUUGCCAAGUUUUCAGUGUUUCAGUUUUUUGGCCAAUCAUUUCAAUAGUGUUCAAAUAUUGGGGCUCCUCAGUCACAUCUCAAAAAAUUCGCUUGAUUCGCUUGGUUAAAAAUUUCGCUGCAUUAAGCGAACUAGCGAAGUAAAUCUGACUGAACUCUUUUCGCUUAAUAAUUCGCCCAAAGAUUUGCUACAGCAAAGAGAGACAAACAGUUAAGGUGAGACUGUGCGCGAAUUUUAAAAUUCACAACAGCAGCAGAUGAGGAGAGAAAAAGUAAGCGACACUAACUCUACUCGAGAGCCUCGCUUCCCCAGAUUUUGGCUCGCUUAGAAUGGCGAGCUCUGAUUGGUUGUUUGAGUGACGGUGAUGAUGCACCUUCGCUAACGUAAGCGACAUUUCUAACCAAGCGAAGCAAGCGAAAUUUUUGAGAUCUGUCUGAGGAGGCCCAUUAUAUUAUAUUUACAAGCUAUUUUUAACUUUUGACACGUUUUCAGUUUCGUCAAAAGUUUAUUGUUAUACAAAUACAUACGCAAUAUCCCAUAAAGAUAAAAUAUGCAAAAAGAACCCAAGUUCCUGAAUUUAUAGUAUUUCUUCAUCGGAACGUACCAAUACUACUAUUAAAUACAAAAAAAUAAUCUCCUGUAAUGCAAAUAUCGAAAUGACCUUAUAAGUAAGUAGCGUAAUUAAUGUUUAACCGCUGUAAACAUGUAUGUACUAAUCAACACUGUUUCGUCAACUCAACAGACUGCAAUCAAUCUUAUAAUAGUGAAAUACGUAUUUAUUUUCAACGCAAUAUAAACGACUGCUAUUUUAUGUUAAAUAUAUUAUUUCCAGUGUUUGUAAUAUUUUUUAUCCAUUGAAUAUUUCCGGGAGUGACGAGUAAUUUUAUAAAAGUCUGAUUGUCUACGUCUUUAUAUGGAAAAAGUAAUAAAAGACUCAAAAAUUUA